GGGGCCUGGCACGCUCAAGUUGUGGUGCCCACCGCGGCAACUGGACAGUCUGGCUCCCCGGGGCCACUUCACAGCUUCUGUCCUCGCCCAGCCCGGCGUGAGCCCCAGGGACGGCUGCCCUGGGACCUCGAGGGGCAGCUGCCCAAGCCUGCUCCAGGACAAGCGGAUGGCAGCUGAGAACACGGCGUCCACGGCCACCCUUGACCUCGCAGGAGCCCAGCGCGAGAGGCCAAGGGAUCACCAAGAUGGAAGACACACUUUCCCCUUAAGCCCCCAGUCUGAGCCCAGAGCUCCGAGCCAGACCCUUGGGCUUCCCGGAUGAGCGCUCUGCUGAGAAGGUGCCCGGCCCAGCCGCUCCGCUCAGGUUCCCCGGCUUCCCCCGCCCUCCUCGCCAAGGGAGACAUGACUGUGCCGAUAGCCACCCUCGGCCCGUGGGCUCCCGCAGAGGAAACUGCAUGAGGCUCCCGCCGGCUGUCUUGCUCAGGCCAGACC